ACCACGGACCACGGACGCACACGGAUGUGUACGCACGUGUAGUUGUUUGUUAUUAUUGUAUAGGUUAGGUCAGAAGGUAGCCGAUCACGGACUGAGAAUUCAGAAUAAUACAACAUGCCUUAUUGUGUAGCGCCUAACUGCAAAAACAGAUCUUUCUCAAAAUCAAAAAAACAAUGUGAGGUGAACAUUUCACCUUGUUCCGAAAAAUAUUGAGAGGCGUAGGAUAUGGCUUGAUACGAUAGGGUUGACGAACACAAGUGUACUAAAGUAUGCUUAUUUAUGUUCAUGUCAUUUUUCACCGGAUACAUUCGAUCGAACAUCUACUUUGAAGGUUAGGCUGAAAGACGAUGCUAUUCUAAAUAUGAAGUCACGUUGCACCCUGAUGCAGCGGAAUCUUCAUCUUCAAUUGAUCAAGUUUGUGAAUCAGCAAUCAAAAAGCCGAGAAUUGAUAGCCGUGAGUUGAUAUAAAUUCUAUUCUGACAAUAUCUAAUUGUUGAGAUC